GCCACAUCAGAUAACUCGGCUUUAUCUAAAAGAAAUGGCGGUUCAAAACCAGCAAGCAAAACUCUACAUUUCCAAGAGGAAUUGUUUAAGGAAUUCCAUUCAAUUCACUACAAUGUCCUGGAACUGAUCAAGUUGUUCGAGUCAAUCCUUCAAUUUCUUCCUUGAGUGUGGCUAUUGAGCUGACCAUGAACUCCUCCGUAUGCCAUCCGCGCGAAAUGAUCUACCAAAGACAGAAGUGGAGCUACAGCAUGACCUGAAAGGAGAAGAAUCGAGACUUUUCAUUGACCCGAUCAAAGUCUAACUUUCAGCCUGACUGGAAUACAAUACCGAGAUCUUCAGAGAGUUGUGUACCAAUAGACAUCUGCAAACCUCAAUCUGUUAAAGCAAGGUUGUGAGGAAGAGAGGGACAGCAUUUCCCUACAAUGAUCAGGCAGGAAAACAAUUAGCAGUUACCAUAGCGA